rnacentral:rRNA from 1 species
UACAGAGGUCUCAAGCGUUGUUCGGAUUCAUUGGGCGUAAAGGGCGCGUAGGCGGGAUGGCAAGUCGGUCGUGAAAUACCUCGGCUCAACUGAGGAGCGUCGAUCGAAACUGCCGUUCUUGAGGGUUGCAGAGGAGACUGGAAUUCCCGGUGUAGCGGUGAAAUGUGUAGAGAUCGGGAGGAACACCGGUGGCGAAGGCGGGUCUCUGGGCAAUUCCUGACGCUGAGGCGCGAAAGCGUGGGGAGCAAACGGG